rnacentral:rRNA from 1 species
GUCUACCGCCAUGCCACCCUGAACAAGCCCAAUCCUGUCUGAUCUCGGAAGCCCAGCAGGAUCUGGCCUGGUUAGUACUUGGAUGGGAGACCACCAAGGAAGACCAGGUGCUGUAGGCA